GACGAACGCUGGCGGCGUGCCUAAUACAUGCAAGUCGAGCGCAGGAAGCCGUCCGAACCCUUCGGGGGGACGACGGUGGAAUGAGCGGCGGACGGGUGAGUAACACGUAAAGAACCUGCCCAUAGGUCUGGGAUAACCACGAGAAAUCGGGGCUAAUACCGGAUGUGUCAUCGGACCGCAUGGUCCGCUGAUGAAAGGCGCUCCGGCGUCGCCCAUGGAUGGCUUUGCGGUGCAUUAGCUAGUUGGUGGUGUAACGGCCCACCAAGGCGACGAUGCAUAGCCGACCUGGGAGGGUGAUCGGCCACACUGGGACUGAGACACGGCCCAGACUCCUACGGGAGGCAGCAGUAGGGAAUCUUCCACAAUGGACGAAAGUCUGAUGGAGCAACGCCGCGUGAACGAUGAAGGCUUUCGGGUCGUAAAGUUCUGUUGUAAGGGAAGAACAAGUGCCGCAGGCAAUGGCGGCACCUUGACGGUACCUUGCGAGAAAGCCACGGCUAACUACGUGCCAGCAGCCGCGGUAACAC
rnacentral:rRNA from 1 species